UUUGGGGCCACAGAAUCCACUUGCUGUACUUCUACUUUUCUCCAAAUGUUCAGGCAGCAGGGCACCAGUGGGUUUUAAUUCUCCAGCGCCCCACGCAGACAAGGGGCAGAAUCUCAUUGUGUCUCUCAGAUGGCAAAUAGCAGCGGACCCACCCACACCCAAGGAUCCUUGGAGGUCAAUGGAGAAGCUGAGCACUUUUCUGAACUAUCACACUGUCACCAAACUCUCUCUGCUCCUGUCUCUUGUUAAGGUUCCCUGGACAGCACAAGGUUCAAAAGUCUCAGGGUCCUCUUCUGCAGUCUCAAUUGCCUAAGCACUUCUACGAUGGCUCUUCCUUUUAGAUGUUCUGCUCAUAUCUUCUUCUCAGAGCCUUCAUCCAGCAGCUGAUGGAAGCAGAAGCAGAUACCCACAGCUAAAAACUGAACUGAACUUGAAUCCAGUUGCAGAGAAGGAGGAUUGUGAGCAAAGGGGUCAAGAUCACGCUAGUGAAACCCACAGAAAUAGCUGACCUGAACAAGAGGGAGCCCUUGGGCCCCAGACUGAUCACUGGGAAACCAGCAUGGAACUGAUCCAGACCCCAUAAAUGUGGGUAUCAGUGAGGAGGCCUCAGAAAUAUAUGGGGCCUCUUGUAGUAGAUCAGUACUUAUCCC
rnacentral:lncRNA from 1 species